GUUUGGGAAACUGAGCCGUCAGUCUAAUGUGCCUGGUGGUGAAAUGAUUGAAAGUGUGGGUAAACUCGGAUUAAGUACUCCCAGAUUUUAAUGCAUUCCCAAUUAUUAUUAUUCCCCAUAACUUUGCAUGUAAUUACGCUGAAUCCCCCAUUUGUGUGAAGAGAUAAAUAGAGUAUCAAUCAGUCCCAGCUGCUUGUCUCUGAGCUGUGCAGAGCUCAGGCUGAGGCCAGCUGCUGCUGCUGCUGCUGAGUGAUAAAUGUGCAGGUAGUGUUAGUGGAAACAGCAGGGGGCAGGGAGGCGGUAAUUACCUGAACGUAACAACAAUAUACACUGGCACUGGUUCACACUCUGUAAAAUACCCUAAUAUUUACUUCAUUAUGUCUAUCAUUUCUUUUGGAAAUUAUGACCCUCGUCUUUCUGUCUGAAGCUGCUGACCCCUCCAGAGAGGCCCCGUUAUUCCCGCAGCAGCUGCCUUCUACCUUUGAUUCCAAAUAUCACCCCUUUGCGACCCUGACCUUUGACCCUGGGUGGUAAAUCCCGCUCUUGCUCAGGUACCUCGGCGCCAUACUCCCUCAGGACCGGUACAGAACUUUUAAUUGCUUAUCCUCGUCUCUGUACAGACGUUUGUGGCAGUGCCGUACAAAUUAGUGGGCCUGACGUGGAGCUGGAAGAGGACCAGUGCCAAGGAAUAAAUGGGAGUCCCAGUGGCCUCAUUGUGUGUCUUGGAAAAGAAAACAGCCAUGAAGAGAAGAAGAGGUUGGGUUCGAGGCUUUGUGGACUCUGAAUAUGAACACUUUUGAGCCAAUUAUGCAAUAAAAGUAGAUUUUUACAAUCGAAUGAGCAAAAACGGAUCACUUUCUUUAAUGGUGGUUACAUUACAGGGCAAAUUAUUAUGCCAUUAACAAGAGUAGACAACCUUAUAAUUUGCAGCAGCUCUUUAAAACCAUCUAGUUUUAGUAUAAUUUUAAACCGAUAUAAUAAAAUGACUUUUCUGUUCCUGUUCUACAUUCCUAGUGAGUGCUACUUGUGAUCAGAAGUUCAUUUCAGCCUGCAAACUAAUAAAUGCAGAGUCAGGAUCUCAGCUUCCUCCCUGCGAGUUGGUCCAAUCCCCUGAACUGUAUGUCUUUGAUAAUCCCAGUUCCAGCUCCAGACCACAUCCUCUAACCCUGAGAGUCCUGAUUUUGGUGAGUUGUUCAGCCUUUCUGGGGUCCUUUUUGGUCAACUCGCUAGAGCCAAGGCCUCGCCAUGAGGCCUCGUACGCCAUUCAUCCAUCCGAUCAACUCCAGGUCUGCUUUCUGUCGCCAAACCCAUGGAGCCGACCCUCGCAGCCAGGCUGCUCCGUGAAAUUAUAAAAACUACAAGUGGAAAACAAGCGCAGUAAAAUGGCAACAAAUCUGCUUUCUGAUGUUUGGUCUCAUAAAGAAAACUCACCCUCCUCCCGCUCCCUCUCCUCCCCUUUAUUCUCAGAGACAGAGAGACUUAGAGACUUCACGUUCUCGGUGCUGGAUGAGUACAUUUUCAGGUUUCCACGCCUGCUGCUGCUGCUGCCCCGAGGCUGUCUUUUUCCACAUUCAGCAGAGGUUCAGUUCCAUCCUGGAAAGGCUUGAUGGUGCUCCGCUUUCAGGCGUAUUAUCUUAAUCGCUGCCAAUGUGCCACAGGCUAAGAGAGGGCAGAACGGUGAUUUAUCCUCGGCUUAAGUGAUUUAAAGAUCUUUAAAAUAUUUUACUGCUCCGCUUCUCCUAUAGGAGGCAAGUAGGGAGGAGACGGGUACGGGCCAAAGCACAGCUCACUAUUCCUACACGGGAUCCAAGCGCUACCUCUCAAACCCCACGAUAUGAGUUUUCAGUUUUAAAGAUUCUCACUUGACUCACGUUUUUAGCUGCGUUGUUGCACAUGGACUUGUGCGACGCGCUUUAAACUUAUCAAACCGAGCCUGAAAAUGAACAAGUAUUCAAUGUUCUAGGAGAUUCUUGGGGAGUCAAAUCAGAACUCACACAUGAAAAUGGGAUCGUUGACUUCGCAUGACUUUUAAACGAAAAGAUUUGGACCUAAAAUGCAACGAAACAAACGUCUCAAUGCCUGGAGGUCUAUCCAGGAUUUCUGAAGACUCUGCUCACAUGCAUCUUCACAUGUAAACACGAUAAUCAUGAACACUGAAAGCCUAAAUACAACUUUUCCUGAAGAUUUCAUGAACUGAUGCUUUGUCAUUGCUGUCAGUCUCAAACCCACAAGGCGUCCACCACUUUGGUUGGAUCUGCACCCAAACAGCAUAAUGGUGCUGUAGUCCAGUAUGAAACCAUAAAUCAAUGUUGCAGAAAUACAGCUAUUCCUAGUGUGUCCAAAUUAGGACAAAAUCAUGCAUUUAAAAAAAAACGGUAGUAAACUGUAAAGUAAAUAAACCUCACAAAGUGAUGGUACAGUCUGUAAAUUGGUUCCAGGUAGUUGAUGGGGCGCUGCUGGCUCUGCUGGCUUAGCAUGCCCCCCAUAAGCCAAGGUUCGGUCUCAUGGAGACAGCCGAGGUUUGGCUUUAGCUACUUUGUUGAAGAGGAACUGCCUGUGUAUUCAGAGACACAGUUAACCAAAACAGAAAAAACCCUGUCCUGGAUAAAGGUACAAAACCAGAUCCCCAUCAACGAAACUGUGGGCUGGGCUGAAAAACAAAAUGUGUGGCGAGCAUGGUGGGGGCAACAGAUGGUACGAGAGAGAGAGAGAGAAGGAGAGAGAGAAGGAGAGAGAGAGAGAGAGAGAGAGAGAGAUAGAGAGCUACACAGCCGCAUAAAAACUGCACAUUGCUGAAUGCAGUGGAAGUCCUCACAGAGGAACACAGUUACACUCUUCACUGCUGGUGCAGUUUCUAUUCCAGAUUUAAUGUUGAGUACAAGACCAGGACUGAGGUGACAGGUGGGUAAAUUUUACUGAUGGUGAUAAAAGCACCUAUUUGUAGAUUUAUUGAAAAUAAGGUUUAGUUGGCACUUCUAGGGCAUCAAACCGUCGUCCCAGAAAUGGAGAGACUGAUUCCAUGUUUUAUACGGUCUAGUUUUACUUAAUUCAAGCCUUGUGUUUUAUUUUACUUCACCUAAUCGAACAGACCAUUUCACCUCAACGACAAAGUAGAAAGAAAGGAAACAGAUGCAGCUUUUUGAAGCACAAAAGAAGUGUUACAACGGCACUGAACACACCCUGGGAUAUAAAACACUGAUGCUUUUAAGAGUCCAGUCUUGUGCAAUAAGAGAAGAAAAGUUAAAGCUUCAUGAUGAACAGCCAAACAGAUUAUUAACUAAAACAAUUCUGCGUACGGUCUGACUGGGUAUGCUUCAUAAAUUUGUAAUUAUGCAAGAAUGUGGAACAGACAAAACGGACGAGGAGGAGUCAAACUUGAUGAUUUAGGACGGAGGGACAUGCAGACAUGAGAAAUGCACUUUCUGCGGUUUUCAAGGUAGAUUCACGACGGUUUCUUGGCUUCUGGUUUAAAAAAUGAAGAGUGGCAGGCGGGCGGGGGGCAUGAGGGGACCUGGAUCUGCUAAGCUGACAUUGAUGGAGUCUUUCAAGAAGUCAUAACCACGCACGGAAACUUCUGCCCACUCUCGCAUGCUACCACAAACACACACACACACACAGGUUGGAGCUCGUGCUGUGUGACUUAUUUCUGAGCGGUGCCUGCAUUUCACAUUUCCACACAUCUGUGCGUAUGUGCCCAUGUUGUUCUUGAGAUGCUGUGCAGUGAUACAUCACACCCCUGAGGACAGUUGUGGCUCGAUCUGCCUCCAAACUCUGGAAAGCUUAUUUUUUAAUGAUUUCAUUGCCUCAUAAUUGGCUUUGUUGACGGUUUCUCAUUAGAUACAACCUGCAGAAAGCUUUCAAUCACUGCAGGCCUUAAUCUAAUCAUGGUGCACAAGCAAAAAUAAAUCAAGGGCAGAGUGCGUAACAAUAUAAUUCAAGCAUCAAUAUACAAUUUUAUUAUGGACAAGAGUGUAAAACGCCAAAUACUGGAUCUCAACACAUGCAUGCUCUAAAUCCAAUAUGCUGUGUUUACAUUCUGGGCUAUUUUCUGCACCAUAUGGACGGAGCAAGGCCUCGCUAAUCCUCAUUUCUGAGGUCUGCCAGCAUAGUGGAAAUAUUUGUGUGAAUUCAAGUCAGAUAUGUCAGCUUCACUAUAUCUGAAAACUCCCCCAAAGUGAGGGGAUGUAAAAGCUUAAGGGGGUUAAAGAAAGGGGGGUAAAGUGACUCUUUAUUUUUAAACAGGAGAAGGAGGGAGGUUUCAGACCGUUUUACAUCUUGGAGGGGAUGUUUGAGGAAGCUGGAGCCACUGCCAGGAGAGCGUCAGCCUGCCACUAGAUGGCAGCAGCACACACUGCUAUCUCUCCCACUCAAAUGCAUGAAAAUUGAACUUUUACACUCAAAAAGGUGUUUGAAGAGAGAAGGUAAAGCUAUAAAAGUUGCACCUCAUUUCUAUUAGAGAGUAUAAAGCCACAGUUUAACCACUCAAGUGUAAGAAACCGGUCUGACGUUGUCACCUGUAGGCCAGACCUGUCUGUCAUCACCGGGACUGUUUUCCCUGAACAUGUUUGAAUCACAUCCUGGAAGAAGAAAACAAAAAGGAUUGAGUGCUAGAAAAGAAGGAAAGGAGGAGGAGGAGGAGGAGAAGGAAAAAAGUUUCAGGAAGAGGGUUUUUCUUCCAUCUUUACACUCAGGAGCGAUGUUUGGAGUGGAAACACCCAGGAGAGAUAAGGUGGGACGUCACGUCUGGAUUUCAUCAUGGCACUGCCUCCUGAGCUUUAGGAUCGCCUCCAAUUCGGCUAAACUCCCAGUUUAAACAACACUGCAGGAAUCUGAGGUCACUCUCCUAAAGCAGGAGGAAAAUAUAUAAUACACGCUGUAGUCUUUAAAAAAAAAAAAGGAAAAGCAAACCUGCAACGCCGUAAAUUAAAACAGGCUCUAACUAAUGCAGACAGGCAGAGAGAAUAAACAGAGCGCUGCUGUUAAAAUGUUGCUCACCACAACACUGAAGGUUAAAGAAAACACACUCCAUCACUCUCUGCUGUAAAGUGAGAGUAUGGAGAGCAUGUAUGAGAGCCAGAGUUCAGGGGGAAAAAUCUAAAAGAAUGAGCGUUUUCUUUUUUUAUAUAUAUGCAAGCUCCAAAAACAAACAACAGAGGGAAAGUUAUCUCAUUAAUUUGGAUUAUAAAGUAAAAACUCAAAAUAUCCAGAGUAAAGUUUGAUUUUUUGUGUUUGUGAUGUCUGUAAAAACAAAGAGGAAGUUUUUGAGUGGUACAUUUUGAGGAUGGAGUCAAAAGGCAAGAAUUUAGUUGACAUUUCAGGAAUAGUGAUGAUGAAAAGUGGAGAUUUCAGUCAAAUAUGAUGAGGAAAAAGUUUUUUUUUUUUCUGUUUGUGUAAUCAAUACAUGAAGAGUGACUGUUUUUUCAGGGUGAAAAAAGUCAAAAGUCAUAAAUUUAGUUGAAAAAGUUAAAAAAAAAGUUUGAAAAGUAGAAAUUAGAGUGAAAGUGUUGGGGAAAAAAUGUUUUUCUUAGUUUGUGGUGCCACGGGAACUGAAUAGAGAAAAAGGACGUUUUUUUAAUUCAAUUUACACACUUAUAAGAGACGUCUGUGUAUCCAGGUCAUGGUUAUCCAAGUCUUCUAAAAGGGGAAACGGGACUUGUUGGGGUUCUUUCACCUCCUGAAAGGUUUCUUUAGUUCUGAACUGAAGUACCAAAGUAGGUGCAAAGAUGCGAAAGUGUAAUCCACAUCAGGCUGAAAGACUCGGAAUGAGGCGUUCACAGCCUCAGUUCAUCAUAGUCGUACAAGACCUGAAGUAAUCAGCUGAUGGACCUAACAAGCUUCUCAAGACCAUGGUUUUGUUUUGUUUGUGGACUUAUCGUGAUAUCGUAUCGUGAAACUGUGAUUUCAUUUCAUCCCUAACUCAUCUUCACUUGGAUAUGUGCAUUGUGUCUAUAAAUACAUUAAUAAACAGAUAAUACCUCGAGUGUUUAAUGCGCUUAAGUUUAUUUCUUCAUCAGUAGAAACUACAGAAUCCACCAGCAGCUGGAAGAGGGUCUGAUUUUGUCUGAUAACUAAUGAAUCGAAUUGUUUAAUGCAGAUAAUUUAAAUGUGAUAUACUUAAAAACAACUUAACUCAGAUUCAUAAAUGUUCUUUUUCAUCCCAUAAAUUUACUCAGCAUUGAAUGUGGGCAGCUCAGUUGGAAGACAAAGUGACUGAAAGUGACUGAAACGCCUCUUAUUCGACCUUUUUUAAACUGAUCAAAAAAGAAAGAUAACAUUCGAAGAAUUUUGAGGUCAAGGUAAAGACAAAAAUUAUUUGGCAGCCUGAAACCGUUUCUAGACAUUUCAGCUUUAUUCUAAAACACAACAUUGUUUUGUUUAUCCCGAGGGGAGGGCUGAGAUUUAUAUCUAAAAUCUUCAAGCUGAUUCACCCCUGAGGCACAAUUCAUCGGACCCCUUUUUAUGGCUUUCAAUAAAACACGCUUUAAAAGAUGUUCCUUCCUUUUGUCUGCAGCUCCGAUUGGAUCAGCAGAGCUCUGCAGAGCGAGGGGCCUUGGCCUGGUUUUCUCUUUCAAACUUGAUCACAUCCUCCUUAGCGUUCCUCCCUCCGCUCCCCCCCGUGAUUGAAUCUGUUUGCUUAAACAACCACUUAAUUACAAUUGCCAUAAUUUUUUGCGAGGCCACAUAAAUACCAGGCUGGAGUCAUCCCACAAGUUAAGAUAUCUGACAGCCUGCCACUGACGCCCUGACCGGGGCUGUGAGAACUUUUCCUGCUGUGUCAUGUUUGUGGCAUCAAACGCUCACUAAUUUAUGGUCGCACAUCCUGAAGAGGCCCUCUCUCUCCCUGGCUGUGUUUUCAAACUGAGGUAAACUGAGAAGCAGCCGUUUCGCUCCUCACGAGGUCUGGCCAUAUUUCAGGCGAUAGUUGACCCCUGACCCCGGAGAACGGGUCAGACCCCGUAAGAUUAAGCUGAAUAUUUGAGGCGAGUGCCACAUGGGCUGCGAGACGGGACUGUUGAAGUGUCCCUUCAUUAAUCACAGCUUCAGCUUUGACAGAGCUGACCUCUGGAUCGAGUUUCAGCUGCUGAAUCAAAGCCGCUGAUCGUCACCUAAAGACAAAUGGUCGAGAUUGUUCAAGAGACUAAAAAUGGAUGUAAAUGCACCAAGUUUCGGUAAGACACAGGCACGUUUGCUCCUCUGAAAACAUUUUGACUGAAAGUAAAGACUUUCAUGACUAAGACAAACUAUUGAGGGUAAAAAUGAUCAAAAUGUGACCAAAACUAAAACUUAGUCCAAAGACUGGGGCUAAGACUAAAUCCAAAACAGAUGCCAAAAUGAACACUAAUUCAAAACCAGAUUUAGGACUUGAUCUGACACCCCUAUGAUUGAGGGUUUGGCUUGGUUUGGGGUUUGUUGAGACUGUUUUUGUAUCGUAGAAGUACAACCAGUAGGUGUGAAACUUGCAGCCAUUGCAGUGAACGGAAACACAACUGCACCCAAGCGAUCUGAAACUUUUUCUUCCCAAAGUCAGGAAAUCUGUUUGGACUUGAUGUCAUGCAAGACAGAAAAUAAAAAAAAGAUUUCAAUUGGACAUUUUAGGCGGCUUGAUUGAUUCAUGGCGCCGACUCAAGCAGAGUGACAUGAAAGAAAACGCCCUGCCUUUAAAUUUCCAGAAGCUCUCUAUGAUAGCGGCACAGUGAAUGUUCUUUAGUCUGCACUACACCCAGACUGGGAUCACGGAAACUUACUGUGCCUUUGUUACGUUUCAUGCAAGAACUCCCAGAUAGGGGGUUUCUCGUGUCUGUGGACUCACUAAACGAGUAAUUGAUACCAAGAGCGUGACGUAUGUGAUCUGGUAGUUUCAUGGAGUUGUGUAGUGUGAGUGUUCAAUAGGUUAUAAUGAUAAAACAGUCUGUCGGAUAGUCACCUAAUCUGACACCUAUCCCAUGGCAUAAAUACAAGCUGCAAAAAUAACAAUAACAACAACAACAAAAAAAUAACAAUGUAAUAACAAUAAAAAAAAUCUUCGGCCUGAUGGUCCUGUUUGAUAUUGAAGCUCAUAGACGGGCAUCAACAUCAAUAUCUGUGUCUUUCAUAACUAAUUAAAAACUUCUAAGA